rnacentral:rRNA from 1 species
UACGUAGGGGGCGAGCGUUGUCCGGAUUCAUUGGGCGUAAAGAGCUCGUAGGCGGCUUCGUAAGUCAGGUGUGAAACCUCCAGGCUCAACCUGGAGCCGCCACCUGAUACUGCGAUGGCUUGAGUCCAGUAGGGGCGCGCGGAAUUCCUGGUGUAGCGGUGAAAUGCGCAGAUAUCAGGAGGAACACCAAUUGCGAAGGCAGCUCGCUGGGACGUUACUGACGCUGAGGAGCGAAAGCGUGGGGAGCGAACAGG